rnacentral:rRNA from 1 species
GACGAACGCUGGCGGCGUGCUUAACACAUGCAAGUCGAGCGGAAAGGCCCUUUCGGGGGUACUCGAGCGGCGAACGGAUGAGUAACACGUGAGUAAUCUGCCCUUGGCUUUGGGAUAACUACCGGAAACGGUGGCUAAUACCGGAUAUGACCAUGCUCGGCAUCGGGUGUGGUGGAAAGUUUUUUCGGCCAGGGAUGUGCUCGCGGCCUAUCAGCUUGUUGGUGGGGUAAUGGCCUACCAAGGCUUCGACGGUAGCCGGCCUGAGAGGGUGACCGGCCACACUGGGACUGAGACACGGCCCAGACUCCUACGGGAGGCAGCAGUGGGGAAUAUUGGACAAUGGGCGGAAGCCUGAUCCAGCAACGCCG